UACAGUGGCGUACGGGUGAGUAACACGUGGAUGAUCUACCUUUGAGUGGGGAAUACCGCUGGGAAACCGGCGACAAUACCGCAUAAUCCCGAGAGGGGAAAGCUUUCGCAAGAAGGCGCUCGACAGAGGAGUCCGCGGCCGAUUAGCUAGUUGGUAAGGUAAUGGCUUACCAAGGCAACGAUCGGUAGCCGGCCUGAGAGGGCACACGGCCACACUGGCACUGAAACACGGGCCAG
rnacentral:rRNA from 1 species